UGUAUCCCACUUCUGACAC
rnacentral:miRNA from 1 species